GUCCAGAAUGCGGCGGACCAGAGCCACACGCUCAGCAUGACCAGGACUGCUGCCGGCCAGAAGCGCGAUGUCAUCGUCGCCAGGCCGGCAGC
rnacentral:sRNA from 1 species